AGAACAGAAGUGUAUUUGGCUCAUGGUUUUGGAGUCUGGGAAGUCCAAGAGCAUAGCACCAGCACCUACAAGGGUCAUCUCAUGGCAGAAGUAUGGAAGGCACAAGCAAACAUGCAUCUCCAGCUGCCCUGGCAAAGAGCGUGCUGGCUGAAGUCCCAAACCAAGUUGUGGACUAUUACAAUGGCAAAGGAAUUAAACCAAAAUGUUCAUCAGAAAUGUAUGAAUCUUCCAGAACACUAGCACCAUGAACUCCCCACACAGUUUUACAGAGUUCUGAAAUACUAUUCCUGCUAAUAUUUCAUAUUUAAUACUUCUACUACUCCUGUACUUUAAAAAACCAACAACAUAUACACAUUUAAAAAUAGCACGUUUUGGUGAUUUUUAACUAUCUGACAAUUUUUUUUGCAUGUGUAGCCCUGAGGCCUGGAUCUGUUAAGCCCUUGUAUUGUUAACUUUUUACAAAGAAACACAGAUAACAAUAACUUACUAUUUACAUUACAGCAUGUCGCCUUGAAAUAAAAUGGUAUCUGUAUCCAUUUUUUAUACAGGUUUGUUGAAAUUUUGCUAAAUUUCUUAUCUUUACACUCUAAAGCAUUUUGAAACAUUUACUGAAUGUUGAUAGACGAAAUAUACUUGGUUUUAUCUGCUAUAGGAUGAGAGACUUUUUAAAAUGGCAGAUGCAUGGACUGUAUUUUGCAUG
rnacentral:lncRNA from 1 species